rnacentral:rRNA from 1 species
AGUGAACGCUGGCGGUAGGCCUAACACAUGCAAGUCGAACGGACGCACAGUAAGAGCUUGCUCCUAAGGGUAGCGAGUGACGGACGGGUGAGGCGUACAUCGGCUUCUAAUUUUUCGUGGGGGAUAACGUAGGGACACUUACGCUAAUACCGCAUACGACCUACGGGUGAAAGCAGGAGUUCUUCGCACCUUUCGUGAUUGAAUGAGACGAUGUCGGAUUAGCUAGUUGGCGUGGUAAAGGCACACCAAGGCGACGAUGCGUAGCUGGUCUGAGAGGAUGAUCAGCCACACUGGAACUGAGACACGGUCCAGACUCCUACGGGAGGCAGCAGUGGGGAAUAUUGGGCAAUGGGCGCAAGCCUGAUCCAGCCAUACCGCGUGAGUGAUGAAGGCCUUCGGAUUGUAAAGCCCUGUUAUUAGGGAAGAAAAACAGUAUAUGAAAAUCCCGCUGUUCUGACGGUACCCAAUGAGAAAGCAACGGCUAACUACGUG